GGGGUAGAAGAAGAAGAUAUCGGGGUGGCAAAAGGUUGGUCACAACAGAGUACCGGGUAGCGGAGCCUUGGCAUAACUGGUAACGUUGCUGUUAUGUGACCAGGAGGUCGUGGAUUCGAGCCGUGGAAACAGCCUCUUGCAGAAAUGCAGGGUAAGACUGCGUAUAAUAAACUCUUGUGGUCCGAUCCUUCUCCCAACCCACACAUAACGGGAGCUUAGUGCACUGGGGUUAAGUUUACUAGGGCCACACAAGUUUAUCUUCCACAAUGAGUUAGAGGCUAUAGCCUUUGAGGAUAUUCACUUCACGUGGGAGUGAAUGCAUGUUUGUUUUCCUGUCUGUCUACAAGAUGGCUUUCCAACUCGGAUUUGACUUAUACAAACUAACGGUGUAAAGAAUUAUUAUACCAUCCGUGCAUUUUAAUCGGUUGCCAAGGGUAACUGCUUUAUUUAAAGCAUGCUAAUCUCAUUUCUUUAUGGAUGGUUUCCUGUAAUUAUCUUUUAGGUAACCUAGAAGGGGAGCCUUGGCGUAACCAGCAAAGUUGCUGCCAUAUGACUAGGAGGUCACGGGUUCGAGCCGUGAAAUAAGCCUCUGGUCCGGUUCUUCUCCGGACCCUGCGCAUAGCGGGAGCUUAGUGAACUAAGUUGCCCUAUCUUUUAGGUAUCUGUUGGAUGGAUUUGAGUUCUUGAUGGAGAGGGUUUGAAGAAGGGAGGCCCCUACUAAGUUACUUGUUGUUAGGUCUUAUAAGUAUGGCCAAGAGAAAGAAAAAGGAAUCAGAUUUAGUGGUGGUCCUGAGCUUGUCACUUUGGAAAAAUGGGUAGCUGCCUAUAUCACACCCCUUUGGGUGCGGUCCUUCCUGUGACUUGCGUGAAUGCGGGAUAUUCCGUGCACCGGGUUACAUCGACCCCCUUCGAGUGUGGUCCUUACCUCGACUUACGUGAACGCAGGAUACUUUGUGCACCGACAGAGGCAGAACCAGGAUUUAAACUUUAUGGUUCCAACUUUUAAGGUUCUUAGUAUAGAACUCAUUAUAUUCUUAAAUUUGUGGGUUCAUACAUAUAAUUUAUUGCCAUUUUAGUGAUUUUGUGCAUAUAAAUUGGUGCU